rnacentral:SRP_RNA from 2 species
GCUGGGCGUGGUGGCUCACUCCUGUAAUCCCAGCACUUUGGGAGGCCGAGGCAGGUGGAUCACCUGAGGUCAGGAGUUUGAGACCAGCCUGACCAACAUGGUGAAACCCUGUCUCUA